CCAAUAGCGUAUAUUAAAGUUGUUGCAGUUAAAAAGCUCGUAGUUGAAUUUCGGGAUUGACGUGAUGGUCGUGCCUUACGGGGUAUGAACUGUUGCUGUUGAUUUCUCACCUUCUGGAGAAACUUGAUGUCCUUAAUUGGGUGUCUUGCGGAUCCAGGACCUUUACCUUGAAAAAAUUAGAGUGUUUAAAGCAGGCAUUUUGCUCGAAUACAUUAGCAUGGAAUAAUAGAAUAGGACGGCAUGGUUCUAUUUUGUUGGUUUCUAGGAUCACCGUAAUGAUUAAUAGGGAUGGUUGGGGGCAUUAGUAUUCAAUUGUCAGAGGUGAAAUUCUUGGAUUUAUUGAAGACUAACUACUGCGAAAGCAUUUGCCAAGGAUGUUUUCAUUAAUCAAGAACGAAAGUUAGGGGAUCGAAGACGAUCAGAUACCGUCGUAGUCUUAACCAUAAACUAUGCCGACUAGGAAUCAGACGAUGUUAAUUUUUUAAUGACUCGUUUGGCACCUUACG
rnacentral:rRNA from 1 species